AACGAGGUACAGUUCUGUUUAUGUAUGGCAUCUUCAGUAAAGAAGUUUUGAGUAAAGACGUUGACGUUGAAUACCACUUCCUUGCCGAGCUUUUAUAUCGUGCCUCAUGCAGUAACUUUUUCUGGUUUUUCUGUACGUAAAGCCCACGGGCGAAUAAACACUCUAAGGAAUUUGCAAAAUGGCAAAGAUUAAAGGUCAGGUUAAGUGGUUCAACGAGUCUAAAGGUUUUGGUUUCAUCACCCCUGCAGACGGCAGCAAAGACGUGUUCGUACACUUCUCUGCAAUCCAGGGUAAUGGCUUCAAAACUCUGGCUGAAGGCCAGAACGUUGAGUUCGAAAUCCAGGACGGCCAGAAAGGCCCUGCUGCAGUGAACGUCACCGCUAUCUAAUUUUCGAUCUGAGCCUGCUACAGCCCGCGUGGCGCGUAAUCCAGGCACGAAUCUGAAUGCAAAAGCUCUGCCAGCAAUGGCAGAGCUUUUUCC
rnacentral:sRNA from 1 species